rnacentral:rRNA from 1 species
GGGGAAUAUUGCACAAUGGGGGAAACCCUGAUGCAGCAACGCCGCGUGAAGGAUGAAGGUUUUCGGAUUGUAAACUUCUUUUGUACGGGACGAAACAAAUGACGGUACCGUAAGAAUAAGCCACGGCUAACUACGUGCCAGCAGCCGCGGUAAUACGUAGGUGGCAAGCGUUAUCCGGAUUUACUGGGUGUAAAGGGCGAGUAGGCGGGACUGCAAGUCAGAUGUGAAAACUAUGGGCUUAACCCAUAGACUGCAUUUGAAACCGUGGUUCUUGAGUGAUGGAGAGGCAGGCGGAAUUCCCGGUGUAGCGGUGGAAUGCGUAGAUAUCGGGAGGAACACCAGUGGCGAAGGCGGCCUGCUGGACAUUAACUGACGCUGAGGCGCGAAAGUGUGGGGAGCAAAC